AGUUAAUGAACUUGUAUAAGUUUAUAUUUUGAAAAUAUAAUAAAGAGAUCGAAAUCUCUAUUAACUU
rnacentral:tRNA from 1 species